rnacentral:tRNA from 1 species
GCAUUGGUGGUUCAGUGGUAGGACCCUCCCCUUCCAUGAGGGAGACCUGGGUUCCAUUACCAGCCAAUUCA